AUUAUUAUUAUUAUUGGCAUUUCUGUAGCACCGAGGGUUAACACGAGAUGAGAGAUGAAAUGCUGACAGGACCAAGAAGAAUGGAGAGGGGUAUAACCUUCAAAUAAUGUGACAAUUGAUAACAUAAAGGUGAGGCUGCUCUACAAAAAUGGAUGAGCAAUCAGAAUUUGUCCUGUUGGCAAUGGAGAACAUAAAACCUUCUGGAGAAAAAGUAUCCACAUCCAAAGCUUGAAUCUCAGAAACCUGGCAAAACUAAAAGGAUGAGUGCAAACUUGGCAGACAAUUGUCUCAGACAGGCUUCCCCAAACUCUGGCCUCCAGAUGUUGUUGAACUACAACUCCCAUGAUUCUCAGCCUAUCUAUUUCACUCAUAGAAUCAUGAGUUGUAGUUCAGCAACAUCUGGAGGGCCGGAGUUUGAGGAAGCCUGGUCUAAAGGAAAGAUUGACAUUUUCCUUUCAAUCCCGCAAUAGCUGAUGGAUUGCCGUCACAUCCUACAUUUGUGAAUACCUGGGCAAAGGACAUAAAAGAGGGUUUAUACAUACCGAAACUCUCUGCAACAGAACAUGGGCUUCUGAAAUGGCAUAGCGGAAUAGAUUAUCUGUACAGUAGGACUUAAAACAAACUGACUGGGUAGGAG